rnacentral:rRNA from 1 species
UCCACACUGUAAACGAUGGAUACUAGGUGUAGGAUGUAUUAAGCAUUCUGUGCCGCCGCUAACGCAUUAAGUAUCCCACCUGGGGAGUACGACCGCAAGGUUGAGACUCAAAGGAAUUGACGGGGGCCCGCACAAGCAGUGGAGUAUGUGGUUUAAUUCGAAGCAACGCGAAGAACCUUACCAGGGCUUGACAUAUACCGGAAUAACCUAGAGAUAGGUUAGUCCUUCGGGACUGGUAUACAGGUGGUGCAUGGUUGUCGUCAGCUCGUGUCGUGAGAUGUUGGGUUAAGUCCCGCAACGAGCGUAACCCCUAUCGUUAGUUGCUAGCAGGUAAUGCUGAGAACUCUAGCGAGACUGCCGGUGAUAAAUCGGAGGAAGGUGGGGAUGACGUCAAAUCAUCAUGCCCUUUAUGUCCUGGGCUACACACGUACUACAAUGGCCGUAACAGAGGGAAGCAAGAUAGUGAUAUGGAGCAAAACCCUAAAAGCGGUCUCAGUUCGGAUUGAAGGCUGAAAUUCGCCUUCAUGAAGCUGGAAUUGCUAGUAAUGGCAGGUCAGCAUACUGCCGUGAAUACGUUCCCGGGCCUUGUACACACCGCCCGUCACACCAUGAGAGUUGGAAAUACCCGAAGCCUGUGAGCUAACUUUUAGAGGCAGCAGUCGAAGGUAGAGCCAAUGAUUGGGGUGAAGUCGUAACAAGGUAGCCGUAUCGGAAGGUGCGGUUGGAUCACCUC